rnacentral:lncRNA from 1 species
UUGAUUAGGAUUUGGAUUAGAAUUUGAUUUAGGAUUUAGGAUUUAGAUUUUAGAUUAGGAUUUGAUUUAGGAUUUGAUUUAGGGUUAGGAUUUGCUUUAGGAUUAGGAUUUAGGAUUUGGAUUAGGAUUUGGUUUAAGGUUAGGGUUUAGGGUUUGAUUAGGAUUUUAUUUAGGAUUUAGGAUUGGGAUUAGGAUUUGAUUUAGGAUUUAGGAUUUGGUUUAAGGUUUGAUUAUAAUUUGAUUUAGGAUUUGAUUGAGAUUUGAUUUAAGAUUUGUUUAGGAUUUGAUUUAGGGUUUUAGGAUUUUAUUAGGGUUUAAGAUUUAAUUAGUUUUGGCCUAAAGUUUGAAUGAAGUUCAAUAGGAUUUUGACUAGAAUUAAAUAAAGAUUGAAUUGAGAUGUAUUUGAGUGAUAUUUGUGAUCAUUCUAAUAUUUCUUUAAGAAUUCUUAUUGUUGGUUUCAAAUUUCUUUGAAUUUUUUUUUGAAUUUGAUU